GACGAACGCUGGCGGCGUGCUUAACACAUGCAAGUCGAACGGAAAGGCCCUGCUUGCAGGGUACUCGAGUGGCGAACGGGUGAGUAACACGUGGGUGAUCUGCCCUGCACUUCGGGAUAAGCCUGGGAAACUGGGUCUAAUACCGGAUAGGAGCCAUUUUUAGUGUGAUGGUUGGAAAGUUUUUUCGGCGUAGGAUGAGCUCGCGGCCUAUCAGCUUGUUGGUGGGGUAAUGGCCUACCAAGGCGGCGACGGGUAGCCGGCCUGAGAGGGUGGACGGCCACAUUGGGACUGAGAUACGGCCCAGACUCCUACGGGAGGCAGCAGUGGGGAAUAUUGCACAAUGGGCGCAAGCCUGAUGCAGCGACGCCGCGUGGGGGAUGACGGCCUUCGGGUUGUAAACUCCUUUCGCUAGGGACGAAGCUUUUAGUGACGGUACCUAGAUAAGAAGCACCGGCUAACUACGUG
rnacentral:rRNA from 1 species